rnacentral:rRNA from 1 species
UAGGGUCCUGAGAGGAGUUCCCCCAACUGGUAUUGAGCACGGACCAGAUUCUUCGGGAGGCAGCAGUGAGGAAUAUUGGACAAUGGGCGCAAGCCUGAUCCAGCCAUGCCGCGUGCAGGAUGACGGUCCUAUGGAUUGUAAACUGCUUUUAUACGAGAAGAAACACUGCUUCGUGAAGCAGCUUGACGGUAUCGUAAGAAUAAGGAUCGGCUAACUCCGUGCCAGCAGCCGCGGUAAUACGGAGGAUCCAAGCGUUAUCCGGAAUCAUUGGGUUUAAAGGGUCCGUAGGCGGUUUAAUAAGUCAGUGGUGAAAGCCCAUCGCUCAACGGUGGAACGGCCAUUGAUACUGUUAAACUUGAAUUAUUAGGAAGUAACUAGAAUAUGUAGUGUAGCGGUGAAAUGCUUAGAGAUUACAUGGAAUACCAAUUGCGAAGGCAGGUUACUACUAAUGGAUUGACGCUGAUGGACGAAAGCGUGGGUAGCGAACAGGAUUAGAUACCCUGGUAGUCCACGCCGUAAACGAUGGAUACUAGCUGUUGGAAGCAAUUUCAGUGGCUAAGCGAAAGUGAUAAGUAUCCCACCUGGGGAGUACGUUCGCAAGAAUGAAACUCAAAGGAAUUGACGGGGGCCCGCACAAGCGGUGGAGCAUGUGGUUUAAUUCGAUGAUACGCGAGGAACCUUACCAAGGCUUAAAUGUAGUUUGACCGGUUUGGAAACAGAUCUUUCGCAAGACAAAUUACAAGGUGCUGCAUGGUUGUCGUCAGCUCGUGCCGUGAGGUG